rnacentral:rRNA from 1 species
GAUGAACGCUGGCGGCGUGCCUAAUACAUGCAAGUCGAGCGAACGGACGAGAAGCUUGCUUUUCUGAUGUUAGCGGCGGACGGGUGAGUAACACGUGGAUAACCUACCUAUAAGACUGGGAUAACUUCGGGAAACCGGAGCUAAUACCGGAUAAUAUUUUGAACCGCAUGGUUCAAAAGUGAAAGACGGUCUUGCUGUCACUUAUAGAUGGAUCCGCGCUGCAUUAGCUAGUUGGUAAGGUAACGGCUUACAAAGGCAACGAUGCAUAGCCGACCUGAGAGGGUGAUCGGCCAAACUGGAACUGUGCCGCGGUCCCGGCUCCUACGGGAGGCAGCAGUAGGGAAACUUCCGCAAUGGGCGAAAGCCUGACGGAGCAACGCCGCGUGAGUGAUGAAGAUCUUCGGAUCGUAAAACUCUGUUAUUAGGGAAGAACAUAUGUGUAAGUAACUGUGCACAUCUUGACGGUACCUAAUCAGAAAGCCACGGCUAACUACGUG